rnacentral:rRNA from 1 species
GGCUCAGGACGAACGCUGGCGGCGUGCCUAACACAUGCAAGUCGAGCGAGAGACUUCGGUCUCUAGCGGCGGACGGGUGAGUAACACGUGGGUAACCUGCCUCAUAGAGGGGGAUAGCCUUCCGAAAGGAAGAUUAAUACCGCAUAACAUAUUUUAGUCGCAUGGCUAGAAUAUCAAAGGAGUAAUCCGCUAUGAGAUGGACCCGCGGCGCAUUAGCUAGUUGGUGAGGUAACGGCUCACCAAGGCCACGAUGCGUAGCCGACCUGAGAGGGUGAUCGGCCACAUUGGAACUGAGAUACGGUCCAGACUCCUACGGGAGGCAGCAGUGGGGAAUAUUGCACAAUGGGCGAAAGCCUGAUGCAGCAACGCCGCGUGAGUGAUGAAGGCCUUCGGGUUGUAAAGCUCUGUCUUUGGGGACGAUAAUGACGGUACCCAAGGAGGAAGCCACGGCUAACUACGUGCCAGCAGCCGCGGUAAUACGUAGGUGGCAAGCGUUGUCCGGAUUUACUGGGCGUAAAGGAUGUGUAGGUGGAUAUUUAAGUCAGAUGUGAAAUACCCGAGCUUAACUUGGGUGCUGCAUUUGAAACUGGAUAUCUAGAGUGCAGGAGAGGUAAGUGGAAUUCCUAGUGUAGCGGUGAAAUGCGUAGAGAUUAGGAAGAACACCAGUGGCGAAGGCGACUUACUGGACUGUAACUGACACUGAGACAUGAAAGCGUGGGGAGCAAACAGGAUUAGAUACCCUGGUAGUCCACGCCGUAAACGAUGAGUACUAGGUGUAGGAGGCAUCGACUCCUUCUGUGCCGCAGUUAACACAAUAAGUACUCCGCCUGGGAAGUACGGUCGCAAGAUAAAACUCA